GGGCCCCGCGAGAGCGCUGAGUCCUGGCGGCGCACGCAGAGCGGCCCCGGCCCGGCCCGAGAGCCGUCGUUGUACCUCGAAAAGGCCUUUAAAACGACGAGGGAAACGUGAAGUCCCUAAAGUUAGCCCAAGAACAGGGGCAUACGGAUUCAUGGGGCCAUUGUAGACACGCGCCUUUCCGGCCAGAUGGAGGGACCGGCCCUCCCCGGGCCGCGCGGCCGUGGCCACUGCAGUGUCUCCCGGACGCUGGAAGAACGCACGAGAGCUUGUCUUGCUGCUUCCUUUUUCUUGGUCUCCAGGUCGGAGUUCUCUGCUGUACACAGGUGAGUACCGCAGCACGUAAUGUCGCCUAGGAGAAACACACACACACAAGCCUCGACGUUUCACCAAGAUACGCACGACAUGGACAUUCUGGAGACCGCAUGUCUUACCAGUCGGCCCAGGUCCCCAAAUCGAGCGUGCGUCGGAAUCCCUUGGUGAGCUUGUUGAAACACUGCUGGAUCCUGUCCCCAGGAGUGAGUGGGGCCCGAACAUGCACGUGUUGCAAUGCUUCUGGUCCAGUAACCACACCUUGAGAACCUCUCCUCUAAGCUGCAGCCAAACUGGGCUCUGCCUGAACAGGUAUGAUGUUGCGCUUUGUCAGUAGAGGGUGCUGGAGAGACACUGCAGGAGGAAGACCUUUUCAAUUCCUGGUUCCGCUUGGGCUGUGCUGGAUCUGCAGGCUGCUUCAGCUCACAGGACUUCUCCAGAAUCCAGCUCUCACACUGCAUGUUGGCCUGCAGCCCCCAGUGUCCCCCAGCGUCCCCUGGCAACCCCUUAGGUGGUUUUCUGCAAAGUGCCUCCAGCAAGACACCUUCUGUGGAAGAGUUUUCCCAGCACAAGGAGGAUUUCCAGGAAGUUCCAGUGCAGUGCCAAGUGGCCUCUCUGCCAUCCAGUGAGCCACAGCUAGUCCUCUCCCUGGGGGUAGAGUGGGCUCCUCAUUGGGGCUCCUUCAUCGCCUGGGGGUUUUUGCCUUGUUUCUUGCCGUUCUUAAAUUCUUUAUAGUCCAGUUGUUGGCCUCCUUGCUCCAAUCCCCAGUUAGUUAAUAAUUCAUUAUAUUAAACUACCUCUGUUCAAA